rnacentral:rRNA from 1 species
GAUGAACGCUGGCGGCGUGCCUAAUACAUGCAAGUCGAACGGAGAGCUUCUAGUAAUUUAUUACUGGAGGAAUUCUUAGUGGCGAACGGGUGAGUAACGCGUUGGUGACCUACCCCAAAGAGCGGGAUAACAGCUUGAAAGGGCUGCUAAUACCGCAUGUGGUCUUCCAGGUUAGAAACUGGUCGAUUAAAGGGAGCAAUCCGCUUUGGGAGGGGCCUGCGUCCCAUCAGCUUGUUGGUAGGGUAAAAGCCUACCAAGGCUAAGACGGGUAGGGGACCUGAGAGGGUGACCCCCCACAAUGGAACUGAAACACGGUCCAUACACCUACGGGUGGCAGCAGUAGGGAAUAUUGCCCAACGGACGAAAGUCUGAGGCAGCAACGCCGCGUGUGUGAAGAAGGCCUUCGGGUUGUAAAGCACUUUUCUGAGGGAAGAGAAAGGACGGUACCUUAGGAAUAAGGAUCGGCUAACUACGUG